rnacentral:rRNA from 1 species
CUUUCAACAACGGAUCUCUUGGUUCUGGCAUCGAUGAAGAACGCAGCGAAAUGCGAUAAGUAAUGUGAAUUGCAGAAUUCAGUGAAUCAUCGAGUCUUUGAACGCACAUUGCGCCCCCUGGUAUUCCGGGGGGCAUGCCUGUUCGAGCGUCA